CCUGCAGCAAGUCUGUCAUCCACCGUGAUCCUGAUGUUGCAAGAAGCAGCUUAAAAAUAUCAUCAGGGCAUUGAUGCUGACUUAAAAGCAGUGUUAUAUUAUUGGGAUAUAUUUCCAGUGUUGCUCAAUCUCCCUGAAAUACAUCUCUCUGAAAUUCAAAGGGGAAAAGUGGCUGUAUGGGGUUAAUCUUGAAAUUUUACAGAAGACUUUAGAUCAAAUCAAAACCCUCGGCUAUUGGUGAACCACAGGUUCUCCUUGAUCGUGUAAGUCCUUCCAUCACCCACUCCAGCACAGCACUUCUGAAAUGCAGAAAUCUGUCACUUCUCAGAUAAAGCCACUAAUCCACCUCUCUCCUUGACACAUUCUCUGUUCAGUGGGCAGAUUUCUUAUAUGGAUAUUUUCUGUCACUUUUGCCAGUACUACCUCUGUGUCAUAAGCUGAUGGCUUUAACCAGUGAUUUUCUGUUUUUCAGAUUCGACGCAGAAAUCCAAACACCUCUCUGUGAAGUGUUUCCAGAGUUUAUCCCCUGCUGAAAGUCUCCUCAAGUUACAGCAACCUAACUGCUGGAAGAUACUCAUGGAUAAAGGAGAGUAUUUUGAGGAUGCUCAGGUUUUCUCCACAAGAUCCAUCUGUCUCAAAUUACUACUGGACUUCUUCUGGCUUUGACAGCCUCUAAUUUCAUCCAGUCAUGUAUGGCAACACACACUAUAUUGUUUUAGAUUUGUCAGAUUUGAUGGUGCCUUGUUGAUGUUUUGCUCUCAAAUCAUGGUGUCAUUCUCUUU
rnacentral:lncRNA from 1 species